CCUACGGGAGGCUGCAGUGGGGAAUAUUGCACAAUGGGGGAAACCCUGAUGCAGCGACGCCGCGUGAGUGAAGAAGUCUUUCGGUAUGUAAAGCUCUAUCAGCAGGGAAGAAAAUGACGGUACCUGACUAAGAAGCCCCGGCUUACCUCGUUCCAGCAGCCGCGGUAAUACGGAGGGGGCAAGCGUUAUCCGGAUUUACUGGGUGUAAAGGGAGCGUAGGUGGCAUGGUAAGGUAGAAGGUGAAACCCGGGGGUCAACCCCGCGGAUUGCUUUUGGAACUAUCAGGCUGGAGUGCUGGAGGGGUAAGCGGAAUUCCUAGUGUAGCGGUGAAAUGCGUAGAUAUUAGGAGGAACACCGGUGGCGAAGGCGGCUUACUGGACAGAAACUGACACUGAGGCUCGAAAGCGUGGGGAGCAAACAGGAUUAGAUACCCCAGUAGUC
rnacentral:rRNA from 1 species